AAAUUCGUUUGAAAAAGAGGAUGAGGUCUAGUUUUUUAGGGGCCACGAAAAAGUUCCUUCUUCUCAAAAAAGGCUCCCUUGGCCAAAAUCCCCAGAAGAUUUUCCUGUCUUCUGCCUCAAUAAUCUCUCACUCUAAAAAAAAGAAAAUAAAGAAAAGAAAAAAAGGAGGAGAAUCCAUCGUCUUCAUCUUCCCACUUCAAC
rnacentral:lncRNA from 1 species